rnacentral:rRNA from 1 species
GACGAACGCUGGCGGCGUGCUUAACACAUGCAAGUCGAGCGGUAAGGCCCUUUCGGGGGUACACGAGCGGCGAACGGGUGAGUAACACGUGGGUGACCUGCCCUCAGCUCUGGGAUAAGCCUGGGAAACCGGGUCUAAUACUGGAUAUGACUCCAUGACGCAUGUUGUGGGGUGGAAAGCCUUGUGCGGCUGAGGAUGGGCCCGCGGCCUAUCAGCUUGUUGGUGGGGUGANGGCCUACCAAGGCGGCGACGGGUAGCCGGCCUGAGAGGGCGACCGGCCACACUGGGACUGAGACACGGCCCAGACUCCUACGGGAGGCAGCAGUGGGGAAUCUUGCGCAAUGGGCGAAAGCCUGACGCAGCGACGCCGCGUGAGGGAUGACGG